UACGGGGCGCAGCAGGCGCGAAACCUCCGCAAUGCGGGAAACCGCCGACGGGGUCAGCCGGAGUGCUCGCGCAUCGCGCGGGCUGUCGGGGUGCCUAAAAAGCACCCCACAGCAAGGGCCGGGCAAGGCCGGUGGCAGCCGCCGCGGUAAUACCGGCGGCCCGAGUGGCGGCCACUUUUUAUUGGGCCUAAAGCGUCCGUAGCCGGGCUGGUAAGUCCUCCGGGAAAUCUGGCGGCUUAACCGUCAGACUGCCGGAGGAUACUGCCAGCCUAGGGACCGGGAGAGGCCGGGGGUAUUCCCGGAGUAGGGGUGAAAUCCUGUAAUCCCGGGAGGACCACCUGUGGCGAAGGCGCCCGGCUGGAACGGGUCCGACGGUGAGGGACGAAGGCCAGGGGAGCGAACCGGAUUAGAUACCCGGGUAGUCCUGGCUGUAAACGAUGCGGACUAGGUGUCACCGAAGCUACGAGCUUCGGUGGUGCCGGAGGGAAGCCGUUAAGUCCGCCGCCUGGGGAGUACGGCCGCAAGGCUUGAAACUUUAAAGAAUUGGCGGGGGAGCACUACAACGGGUGGAGCCUUGCGGUUUUAUUGGAUUCCACGCCGGGAAGCUUACCGGGGGAGACAGCGGGAUGAAGGUCGGGCUGAAGACCUUACCAGACUAGCUGAGAGGUGGUGCAUGGCCGCCGUCAGUUCGUACUGUGAAGCAUCCUGUUAAGUCAGGCAACGAGCGAGACCCGCGCCCCCAGUUGCCAGCGGUUCCCUUCGGGGAAGCCGGGCACACUGGGGGGACUGCCGGCGCUAAGCCGGAGGAAGGUGCGGGCAACGGCAGGUCCGUAUGCCCCGAAUCCCCCGGGCUACACGCGGGCUACAAUGGCCGGGACAAUGGGUACCGACCCCGAAAGGGGUAGGUAAUCCCCUAAACCCGGUCUAACCUGGGAUCGAGGGCUGCAACUCGCCCUCGUGAACCUGGAAUCCGUAGUAAUCGCGCCUCAAAAUGGCGCGGUGAAUACGUCCCUGCUCCUUGCACACACCGCCCGUCAAGCCACCCGAGUGGGCCAGGGGCGAGGGGGUGGCCCUAGGCCACCUUCGAGCCCAG
rnacentral:rRNA from 1 species